GCGGGUGUAGCUCAAUGGUAGAGCAACAGCCUUCCAAGCUGAAGACGGGGGUUCGAUUCCCCUCACCCGCU
rnacentral:tRNA from 1 species